rnacentral:lncRNA from 15 species
AUGGUGGGUAGAGGGAGGCGGGGGCUGGGAGUCUGUUAUUGGGUUGACCCCACAUCUCCACCUCCUCCACCCCGGCCUGAGCCAUCGACCCAAAUUGAAAUGGACUUUGAAGUUAUUCGUCAUACUGAAAGCUUUGUAGAUACUCCUCAAAGCAUCUCUCCCAGCAGAGCUAAUAGUCUCACAAGACUCUGGCUGACUGCUGCAGAGAGUCGGAAUCUUUCUGGGCCCCCUGAGAAAAACAGGAAGACCCGGGGUGAUGGCCAGGCCAGGCAGGAAGAUAAGAUUUGUGUGUGUGUUGUGUGCUUUGGCAUGUGUGUGAUCGCGCGUGUGUGUUUGUGCACCUCGCAAAGGUAUCUGUCCUGUCUGAGCCCACUUGCAUCCGUCAAGAGUCAGGUCAGGCUCCAAAGCCCCCUGGGAUCAACAUGUCAUUGUGGCUGGCUGGUGUCAAUGACAUGUCCUCAGUGACAUCAUCACCCGGGGACACUGAACAGAUGAUUCAUCUCUCUUCAAUGCUCAGCUGAAGAGCCAUUAGAGUCUACCGCUAAUCAGACUACAGAAUAGAGUAGCCCCAACAACCUCAUCAGUGUUGCCUUUUCUCCCCCUGGCAGGUGCAGCGUUAACGGCGUAGGACACUGCAGCUUUGAUCAUGUAUUUAUAUUUUAGGAGGUAUUACAGAAGCCCCGCAUGCAGACCCCAUCCUCAUAAUGACUGUGCCAGUAAAGAAACAUCCUCUGGAUGUGCCUUUAUUUCAAAUCUAGCAGUGGCUGUCAUCUGUUUCUGUGAAAACAUGCUUAUAUUUGAACCAUAGAAAAUCACAUUGAGAUAACCUUAUCUGUAGAUAGAAUGGUAUCUGUCAUCCUGAUUAUGUCAUAUGUUUACAGCUGAGCGUUGUUCUGUGCAGCUAUAAAUAAAGAGGCCAUAAAGAUCCUGGAGUAAGUCUGUAGUGUAUAAUGCCCACACACACACUUAAUGCUGUAAUUGUGACACGCCUUUAAAAUGGAACAAAGAGGUAAGGAUAAUCACAGCUAAUGUAAACGCUUGUGCACAUGCCCGCAUUCAGAAGAAAAAGAAGGAAACGCACCCUUGCAUGGACUGUUGCACAAACACACCUUUGGCAACCAAAGAUAUACACCAAAAGAAACACACUUUAAACCCAUGGAGACAAACUCCUAAAUCUGAGGAUGUCCUUGUUAGUAAGCAGCCGAGGGUACACGAGUGCUCUCAGCCGCAUCAUCAAAGCCUCAGCAAUUACUCCCAUGCUCCCUCACUCUGGCAUAAAUCUGCUCUUAUCUCGGCUCGCUGCAGGAUCAGGGAAUAUCAGCUCCAGCAUCUGCUCCAUCUACAAACCCAGCCACUAAAAGCACAACAAAGUGGCUCUGCAGGCAUAAAUAAAGGAGGGAGGGGCACCGGAAGAAGCAAAGGGGGCAUAUAGAGAAACAUAGAAUGAAAGAUAGGCAGAGGACGGCACAGGGGUGUGUGUUCCUGCUUGUCUUAUUUGCCUUGAGCGUUUGGGCACUUUCACACCGCAAUCUGUCAGUCAGCCAGUCCAAAAAAAACUUUUCUCAAACUGAUUUCCAAGGAGCUCUGCUCGGCUCAGCAUCAACUCCUCGCAGGAAAUUAAGACAUAUGGAGAGUGAGGAGGUUAACAGCUCGGGUUGGGGUAAAAGGGCAGAGUUCAAGAUUUAAUGGUCAGGGGCAGAUAUGAAGUUAAGACCAGCAUGUCAUAUUUAUUGGAGGGGUUAAGAUUAUCACUGACUCUGUUUGUCAAAGGGCCUAUGAACUCCAGAGAAGUUAGGAUCACGGCCUUCCCGGACACAUUUUUUACAUUAUUAACCCAGUUUGUAAAGAGAAGUCAGCGGAUUCCGGGUCUGUUAUCGAGAGCAAAGUUGCUCACACCUGGCUGAAGCAACAGCGGUGACAGAUGAACAGGUCUCCAAACUAUUUUUAGGAGGAUGUUUAUUUUCCUCACCGCCGGACUGAAGCAACAUCUUUCAUUCUGACCUCUUUAUCGCAGCUGUGACCCUGACCCCCCUCCUCCACCUACCAUUCUGUCUCCUGUCCCUCCCUAUCCUCUCUGCAUUUCCUCCUUCCUCUCUGUGCCGUCCACUCCCUUUCGCCCUGGGUCAGCCACUCCCCGCUCUCCAAAUAUGCCCUGUGAGUGAGUGCGAGAGCUAGCUGGUACAUUUUCUUUUUGAAGUUGUACUCAAAAUUACAACCGUUCAAGGACUUUUCAGUUCAACAUGAGCUGAAAGGCCUCAGCCUGCCGGGCGUGAAUCCGUUAUAGAGACAAAAUGUUACAAAUGAAUAUUAUGAGGAAAUACCUCAGCUCCAGGUGCUGGCUGGGGGGUCAGGGGUGAGAGGUGAAGGGUCAUACAGCACCCCUCAGGGCGCCCUGACCUCACAAGACUGAUGAAUAGUGUGCUAACAAGGACCAGCUCUCUCUUACUGUGUCUGCACUCUCUCUUCUUGUCUUUGACUACCUCUAAUUUUUCCCUUUCCCCCCCCUCCUUUACUCUCCUGGGGACUGAUCUGGCAGCAGCAGAGUAGUAAUACUUAUACCUGCUGAACCUUUAAAGUACCUCACCAUCUGUCGUCUCCCUUGGAUUUAUAAUUAUCAUCAUAUCACAUUCAAACUAGGCACUGUCGCACUCUUACAUAACCUAACCCCUAUCUACCAGCGCAUGCAAUACUUAAGAAUAGAUUGAAUAAAUUAUUAUUGGGUGAGGUGUUAAAUCUUGGCCAGCAAUGGAAGUGCUUUCUUUCUAAUGAGGCUCCCCUACCUCGUUUCUGGCUUGUAUCUGCGCAGAAGAAGGGAAGUGAGAAAGGUAAUCACAGGCACAUGCAUGGGCCACCCGCCUACACAUACACAUGCAGACGCACCCAAUGGACCCCCCCCCCCCCUUCCCGCACAUACAAACGCAUGCAAAAUUGGACAUAGCACAGACGUGGACAUCGCACACACAUUACACACACCCGCACCCUGGGCCAUUUGCACAGUCAUAUCAUAGAGCCAAUUAAAGAGAUGAGUCUUAUUAGCAGAGGUGUCCUGGCCCUCGUUAAUCACUGGGGUUUCCUGGCAGGGGCUGGUGACAUGCAGAGCUCUCCGUCAUCUUUAUGAGACCUGUCUCAUCACGCCCUUAUAAGACACUCAUCCAAACUUUACUGAGACUCAUGAUUUAGCAGAGCUGGCUUGGCCCAGAAAUGCAUUCAGUCAUCUGCGGGUCACCUUUGAAUGAGCUUCAAGGGAUUUGAAAAUGGAAGCGUAGAAAUGCAGGCCUUUUGUGGCGCAUUGCUACCUCACAGGCUUGCAUGUUUUCAGACUUUCCCCCUCCUAAUUGAAAAAAAAAACCAUAAUCUUGUUUCCUCUUCCUGCGGGGAAAACCACUAUUAUCCUCACUGCAGAGCUCAGGCCCACAGGGACAAGCGAAAGUGGCUCCACAACAAUGAUGUGAGGUGAGCAGAGGAGGUGUAGAGAAUCAGAUUCCAGGGUAACCCAGGGUAAAUAUCAUCCUAGUCCCAGCUGAAAACCUGCCUUGUUUUCUCGCUUCAAGGGGUCGAAUGCCCUGCCCAGACCUCUGGACCACCUGCAGCUCUGCCGGUGACAGAUUCCCUCCACACACUGGACCAUCUCAGCCCUCAGUGUCAAAGGGAGACUAAUCCUCCUGCUUCUGUCCUCUAAGUACAAUAGCCCUGUCACUCGUUCACUCAUUCAGCAUACCUUUAGGCGCUCUGCCUGUGUGUCAAUACGAAGAAAACGGCAGGAGGCAGACAGUAGGUUCCCACGGCACUCUAUUCAUAGCUUUCCACUGGAAUCUCUGACCUGUUCUGGCCUGUCUCAUGAAACCUGCUCCUCAUAAUGAAGGGCAUUGAUCCUUUUCUCAUUUCACAUUCACCUUGACAUCUCUGUUACGGCCCACAGAGCGUCUCCUCUUAAUCCAGGGUAGAUUCUUUCCCUUUAUUUGGUUACCAGAUAUUUUAUUGGGUGCACAGCACAUGGAGUGAUGUGGCCCAGAGAUGUCAUGGAUGGUGUGUACUGUGGUGCACCAUGAGGCACAAGAAGAAGAGUGUGGACAUUUGAGUGUCAGUGGCCUGGAAGUUGCUCUAUCUGUGUGCGUGUGUCCAUGUUCCUAAUCUGAGGUCUUGGUAAAUGAUUUUUCAGGGUCAGCUGCUUUCCUCUGCCCUUACAAGCCGGGGAGAUUACACCCAAUGCUCUCAUUCAUGAUUUAUCCAUGGAAUUAAAAUUCUGUGCGUUUAUCUCCUUGCAGAAUACCAGAACAGUCUCGUCCUCCAUGAACAACAAACAACUCUUCUAAGAGAUGUAAUAAAUAUUCAGUGGUUGUGUUAAAUGUAGAUCUAAGAUAUAUAUUUU